CAUCCAAAACUGAAGUUAUUUAUCUCUCCCACAACUACAACAACAAUAAUUACACCAUCAUCAACAACAACAACAAAAUAAAAAACCUGAUUCUUCUCUGCUAUGUUACCCAUCUUGAAUUACGGAACACCAGCUACCUAGUCAAGUGCUCAAGCCGGAAACUCACUGAUAUAAAUUUGAGGAUAGAUACACAUGGCAACUUGAACUCUCAGGUGCUUUUACUUUGAUUUCCUUCUAAAGCAGCAAAUCAGUUGAGUAAAGGGUAAAAAUGAGUUAAAUAGCUAGCUAGGUCAGCUUAUCUUCCCAUUGGUUCCCUUGUAUCGCAUAAAGGAGUGUCUCAUGUAUGUAAGGCACAAUGGCCACAUUAAGUAAGACAUUCUCUAGGGGAUCCCUGGGUGGUUCAGCGAUUUAGCACCUGCCUUCGGCCAGGGGCGUGAUCCUGGAGUCCCGGGAUCGAAUCCCAUGUUGGGCUCCCUACGUGGGACUCGUGGGACUCGAUUCUGGGUCUCCAGGAUCACGCCCUGGGCUGAAGGCGGCACUAAACCACUGAGCCACCGGGGCUGCCCAACAGUUUAUAUUUGUACAAGGCAUAAAAUGUAAACAUUGAUCUCCAGAAGGUUCUGAUCAACAGAAGGUUACAAGGCAUGUAGAUAAAACAUGUAUACAUAAUAAAUAUAAUUAUAAUGAAUGACUAUAUAGUAGUGGGUAUUAACUGAAUGGUUUGGACAAUAAAAUAUUAAUAGACUUUGUAAAAAUAAUUUGGGAAUGAUUAGGGAAGAAACCUCAUAUAGAAGGUAGAAUUUGAAUGGAACACUUCUAGAUAUGUGGGAAUUCAUUUAGAAAAAAAAAAUUUUUUUAAAUGCUUAUGGCAUAGUGUAGAAACUAUGAGUAGGCUAGUUUGGCUGGAGUUGGGAUUUUUGGAGAAAAAUGAUAAUUAGGAGAAAGAUAGGCUAUGCCUGGAAAUAUAUAUAGCAAUCAGAAUUAGGAAGGAGAUGAUUCAAUAGAUAAGGCUUGAUGAUCAAGAACUUUCUUGGGUAGGCAAAGAAAGCCAUUGAAGAAUUUUUUGGUGGAAAAAAGCAUUAAAAAAAAAAAGGAAAGAAGCAUAAUUGGUGGAACAAUAUUUUGGUACAAUGAUAGUCACAUGAGGAUUCAGGAUUAAUUGAACUGCUGGAGACUGAAAGCAAAAUAUUGCUGUACUUUAAUUAUUAAAUUAGCAUGAACAUGGUGACAGUGGUAAUAGAAACGAGAGUUGAGAUGGAAAUCAUUAAGGAAAAAUUGAUAAGAAUUAGACACUAUAUAUCAGGGAGAAAAAGGAAGAAAAAAAUGCUUCUGUUUCAAAACAGAGUAAAAGAAAUGGUGGCAUCAUUACUAGAAAAAGUGAAGUCUGAAAGUUGAGAAAAAUGAGUCUGAUUUUUUCCAUGUUGAGUUCCAUGAAAUCUUGCUCAACUAUUUUAAUCUGUUUUGCCUACCCUAAAACUUGGUGACUUAAUAAGAAUUCAUUAUGCUGACAGUUCUGUGGGUUGGUUGGAUAGCUCUGAGAGGGGAAACUAAAGAGACUUCAUUUUUAGAAAGAUUCCAUCUCUACUGUUUUUCUGCUAGGCUGCAUUUCCUCAUGUUCCAUAUUUCAUCUUACAUCUGAAUAAAUCAAAGAAGCUAUGUUCCCACUCCAAGAAGGAAGCAGGACAGUCAUUCUUUGAAUUUCAUCUUAGGACCCCAAACACCUGAUGACAUCCAAGAAGAACUGGAUCUCAAAUGUGUUCCAGUACAUUAGCGUUGAACAAAUCUCAGCUGACACUGAUAUCAAUACCCUCUACCUUCAAUGAUAUGUGAAAUAACACCUAUUGUUCACCUGUCAGUCACCUUUGGUCAGACCCUACCCUGGAUUCCUGAAGGAACAUACACCCUGUACCCUUUUCCAGUUUAAACCCAUAACCCCAAGCAAUAAAGAGACUCACUCUCCUUUCCUUUCCGAGUCUCCCAAACACUCCAUUUGCUAUACUCUAUCACUUAUACUACUCAGUAAACUCUGUUUUCACUUCCUCCUAACUUGAAUUUUACUUCUAUCUUGUGUGAAGCCAAGAACCCUCUUGGCUGGUCCUGUGGGACACCCCCUGGGUCCUCAGACGCAACCUGCCUAUGUCAGUUUUGUAGGUUUUGCUGGACCCAUUCAUGUAACUGCAUAUCUGUCAGGUCUCGGGUCUCUUCUGCAUGGCUUGCCAUCCUAUGGCAGGAUAGAUUGGCUCUAACAUGGUGGCCUCAAGCAGCAUUCCAAUAGGGCAAAAGCUACCUGCUAGUGAAAUUUAUUGCCUUCAUUGUUUCCAAAGUUUGAAAAGUACAUCUCUGGUCAGGACCCAUAGUCAUGAGCUAGGCACCUCUUUCCUUGAAAAGUGACCUUGAUGCCUAAAAUGACAUCAAAUUCAAAUGUUUUGUUUUUUAUGUUUAUGUUUAGCCUACCUUGAAAGGUAGGCUUUCUUUAAUUGAAGUGUUGCAUAAAUACAAAAAUUCUCAUGACACAGAGUAAGAUACAAAGACAAAAACAUCCUUUAUACUCUUUUCCUUCAACUUUGUCUUAGUUUUUAAAACUUAUAUAUUGAGAAUCAAAUAAUCCUACCCUUGGGGCACUUUGAACUUUUUAAAAAAGAUUUUAUUUAUUUAUUUGAGAAAGAGGGAGAGAGCACACGAGCAGGGAGGAGGAUGUGGAAGAGCAGGCAGGAGGAACAGAGGAAGAGGGAAAAGCAGACUCCUCACUAAGCAGGAAGCCUGAUGCAGGGCUCACCCUAUGACCCUGGAAUCAUGAACUGGGCUUAACUGACUGAGCACCCAGGCACCUCAAAGGGGCACCUUGAACUUCUAAAACAGUCUAUCAAAUCCAUCUCUUUCUAGUUAAAAGGUAGAUUAUCUAAUGUUCCAAGAGUCCUUGUCAUCCACAACUUUCCCUACUUUUUGUUUUUCUGACUCAAGAAAUAGAAGUGAUGGUUUGAGAUGUUCCCUGAGGAUUAGUAGUUUUGUGAAAAAUAAGCACGGAUUAGCAGAAUGAGGACACUUAGUCAAUUUCCUCAAUUACUACAGGCUUAGAGUAGCAACACAUGAAGAUUUAAUAACUAAGAGGUAAGGAAAAAAUAGCUGAUGGAUGACAUUGGAAAGUUGCUUGGAAAUUUUUUGCUUGGGAUCAAAUAGAAUAACUAAAGAAUGAAGCUGAUCAUAGGAUAUAAUACUUUGAUGUUUCAUUAUGUAACAAGUUAAAAUCUAAAUUUAGUAGUUAUUUUUAAAUACUUUAAAGAAUAUUUUUUUAAGGGAUUCCUGGGUGGCGCAGCGGUUUGGCGCCUGCCUUUGGCCCGGGACGCGAUCCUGGAGACCCGGGAUCGAAUCCCACGUCGGGCUUCCGGUGCAUGGAGCCUGCUUCUCCCUCUGCCUGUGUCUCUGCCUCUCUGUCUCUCUCUGUGUGACUAUCAUGAAUAAAUGAAUAAAAUCUUUAAAAAAAAAAAAAAA
rnacentral:lncRNA from 1 species